rnacentral:rRNA from 1 species
AUUGAACGCUGGCGGAAUGCUUUACACAUGCAAGUCGGGCGGCAGCGCGGGGGCAACCCUGGCGGCGAGCGGCGAACGGGUGAGUAAUACAUCGGAACGUGUCCUUGAGUGGGGGAUAGCUCGGCGAAAGCCGGAUUAAUACCGCAUAAGCUCUGAGGAGGAAAGGCGGGGGACUGGUAACGGCCUCGCGCUGUUGGAGCGGCCGAUGUCGGAUUAGCUAGGUUGGUAGGGGUAAAGGCCCACCAAGGCGACGAUCCGUAGCUGGUCUGAGAGGAUGAUCAGCCACACUGGAACUGAGACACGGUCCAGACUCCUACGGGAGGGCAGCAGUGGGGAAUUUUGGACAAUGGGGGCAACCCUGAUCCAGCCAUUCCGCGUGAGUGAAGAAGGCC